rnacentral:rRNA from 1 species
AUGAACGUUGGCGGCGUGGAUUAGGCAUGCGAGUCGUGCGGGUGUAGCAAUACACCAGCGGCGAAAGGGACAGUAAUAUGUAGGUCAUCUGCCCUCGAGACGGGGAUAGCCGCGGGAAACUGCGGGUAAUACCCGAUAACGUCUUCGGACCAAAGGUGUGAGUCCGCUCGGGGAUGAGCCUACAUCCUAUUAGCUAGUUGGCGGGGUAACGGACCACCAAGGCAUCGAUGGGUAGCGGGUGUGAGAGCACGACCCGCGUCAUUGGGACUGAGACACUGCCCAGACACCUACGGGUGGCUGCAGUCGAGAAUCUUCGGCAAUGGACGCAAGUCUGACCGAGCGACGCCGCGUGCGGGAUGAAGGCCUUCGGGUUGUAAACCGCUGUCAGUGGGGAGGAAGGCUUCGCGAAGAGCGAGGUUUGACCUAUCCGCAGAGGAAGUGAGGGCUAAGCUCGU